rnacentral:lncRNA from 1 species
CCGAACCUAUGUAUUUGUAUGUAUUUUUUCUUAAAUGGACUCAAAUUUCUCUAACUAUUUUUCUAACACAAAAUUUCCCAACCCCAAAAAAGAGAACCACUCUCAACAGUGAGUAAGGGUCACCUUUAUAGAAUGACCCCUAGGGUAAAAAUUGGGGAGAAAACAGAUGAAAAAUCGUGUAGGAGUAGGGUACAUUUGAAAUUCAAAAUCAUAAAUUUCUUGCAUCAU